AUACACCGUACCGCAAACCGACACUGGUGCGCGAGAUGAGUAUUCUAAGGCGCUUGAGAGAACUCAGGAGAAGGAACUCGGCAAAUUGACACCGUAACUUCGGAAGAAGGUGUGCCCUAUUAGUGUGUAGUGAACAACGAAGCAUGAAUGGGUUGCAAAAAAUCGGUGGCUGCGACUGUUUAUUAAAAACACAGCACUCUGCAAACACGAAAGUGGACGUAUAGGGUGUGACGCCUGCCCGGUGCUGGAAGAUUAAAUGAUGGGGUGCAAGCUCUUGAUUGAAGUCCCAGUAAACGGCGGCCGUAACAAUAACGGUCCUAAGGUAGCGAAAUUCCUUGUCGGGUAAGUUCCGACCUGCACGAAUGGCGUAACGAUGGCCACACUGUCUCCUCCUGAGACUCAGCGAAGUUGAAAUGUUUGUGAUGAUGCAAUCUCCCCGCGGAAAGACGGAAAGACCCCAUGAACCUUUACUGUAGCUUUGUAUUGGACUUUGAACAGAUCUGUGUAGGAUAGGUGGGAGGCUUUGAAGCAGGGUCGCUAGAUCUUGUGGAGCCAACGUUGAAAUACCACCCUGGUGUGUUUGAGGUUCUAACCUAGGUCCAUUAUCUGGAUCGGGGACAGUGCAUGGUAGGCAGUUUGACUGGGGCGGUCUCCUCCCAAAGCGUAACGGAGGAGUUCGAAGGUACGCUAGUUACGGUCGGACAUCGUGACGAUAGUGCAAUGGCGUAAGCGUGUUUAACUGCGAGACUGACAAGUCGAGCAGAUGCGAAAGCAGGACAUAGUGAUCCGGUGGUUCUGUAUGGAAGGGCCAUCGCUCAACGGAUAAAAGGUACUCUGGGGAUAACAGGCUGAUACCGCCCAAGAGUUCAUAUCGACGGCGGUGUUAGGCACCUCGAUGUCGGCUCAUCUCAUCCUGGGGCUGUAGCCGGUCCCAAGGGUAUGGCUGUUCGCCAUUUAAAGAGGUACGUGAGCUGGGUUUAAAACGUCGUGAGACAGUUUGGUCCCUAUCUUCCGUGGGCGCUGCAGAUUUGAGGAAGCCUGCUCCUAGUACGAGAGGACCGGAGUGGACACACCUCUGGUGUAUCGGUUGUCACGCCAGUGGCAUUGCCGAGUAGCUAAGUGUGGAAGAGAUAACCGCUGAAAGCAUCUAAGCGGGAAACUCGUUUCAAGAUGAGAUCUGCCGGGGCCUUGAGCCCCCUAAAGAGUCGUUCAAGACCAGGACGUUGAUAGGUCAGGUGUGGAAGCGAAAA
rnacentral:rRNA from 1 species